GAUGAAGAACGUAGCGAAAUGCGAUACGUAAUGUGAAUUGCAAAUUCAGUGAAUCAUCGAAUCUUUGAACGCACAUUGCGCCCGCCAGUAUUCUGGCGGGCAUGCCUGUUCGAGCGUCAUUUCAACCAUCAAGCCCUGCUUGCGUUGGGGUCCUGCGGCUGCCCGCAGGCCCUGAAAACCAGUGGCGGGCUCGCUAGUCACACCGAGCGCAGUAAUACAUCUCGCUUUGGGCGUGCGGCGGGUUCUUGCCGUUAAACACCCCCUUUUUACCAAGGUUGACCUCGGAUCAGGUAGGAAUACCCGCUGAACUUAAGCAUAUCAAUAAGCGGAGGA
rnacentral:misc_RNA from 1 species